UGGGGAAUUUUGGACAAUGGGCGAAAGCCUUAUCCAGCCAUGCCGCGUGUGUGAAGAAGGUCUUCGGAUUGUAAAGCACUUUAAGUUGGGAGGAAGGGCAGUAAGCGAAUACCUUGCUGUUUUGACGUUACUGACAGAAUCAGCACCGGCUAACUCUGUGCCAGCAGCCGCGGUAAUACAGAGGGUGCAAGCGUUAAUCGGAAUUACUGGGCGUAAAGCGCGCGUAGGUGGUUCGUUAAGUUGAAUGUGAAAGCCCCGGGCUCAACCUGGGAACUGCAUCCAAAACUGGCGAGCUAGAGUAGGGCAGAGGGUGGUGGAAUUUCCUGUGUAGCGGUGAAAUGCGUAGAUAUAGGAAGGAACACCAGUGGCGAAGGCGACCACCUGGGCUCAUACUGACACUGAGGUGCGAAAGCGUGGGGAGCAAACAGG
rnacentral:rRNA from 1 species